rnacentral:rRNA from 1 species
AACUAACGCUGGCGGCGCGUCUUAAACAUGCAAGUUGAGCGAGAGGUGGAGCAAUCCACAGUAAAGCGGCGAACGGGUGAGUAACGCGUGGAUUAUCUACCUUCCAGAUGGGGACAACCCGGGGAAACUUUAGCUAAUACCGCAUAUUCUCGAGAGAGGAAAGCUGCCCGCAAGGGUGGCGCUAUUGGAGAGGCCUGCGUCCGAUUAGCUAGUUGGUGAGGUAAAGGCUCACCAAGGCGAUGAUCGGUAACUGGUCUUAGAGGACGACCAGUCACACUGGGACUGAGACACGGCCCAGACUCCUACGGGAGGCAGCAGUGGGGAAUUUUGGACAAUGGGCGCAAGCCUGAUCCAGCAAUGCCGCGUGCAGGAUGAAGGCCUUCGGGUUGUAAACUGCUUUUGUACGGAACGAAAAGCCCUGGGUUAAUACCCUGGGGUCAUGACGGUACCGUAAGAAUAAGCACCGGCUAACUACGUGCCAGCCGCCGCCGUAA